rnacentral:lncRNA from 1 species
CUACUAAUUCAGAGGGGUCAAUUUCAUCUUGACUCAUACACCGACUUGAUAAGUACUUGACUGCACCCAAUAGCCUUCCGUCACUAAGUUAGAAACUCAAAUGGUCUGGUACUAAAAUACAGUGAGUUGCUUACAAGUGAUCAUGGUGGUCUCAGGUCGGAGGGACACUUAUACCCAUUCCCUUUAUGAGCUACUCUUGACAAUAGAGUGCUCGGCACAUGAUCAUGUUCCAUGCAAAUAUACUCC